rnacentral:lncRNA from 1 species
UCCGUCCAUGCCCCUCCCCCACAAGCCCCCUUUCCCGCCCUUUCGUCCUACAGGUCUGGCUCCUCCCACGAUGCAGACCCCGCCCUGAAGGGGCGUGGCGUGUCUCACACGAGCGCUCCAUGUUUGGAGGAGGCUGUUGCAAUGAAGUGAAAUAGCGGUGUGACGGAGGUGAGCGGCGGGGCAGACAGCGGGACAGAAAGCGCACCAGAAACGAAGAGCGCCGACUAACCGCUCCGCAACGAAAGUGAAAGACCGUAUUAGUUAAACACACACAUCACGUUGUAGUUCGCUUCAUUUCUUCUCUGGUUCUGUGAAAAUUUCUCAAGAGAUUGAUUUUUGAAACACAUUCACCGGAAUAUUACUAGUUGAAAAUAGAAGAGAAUUUCACCACGCCAACUUCCCUCUGUGCUGAUGUUAUACAGCCACAAAGAAUAAAUCAUGGCAGUUGUGGACAGGAUUUACAGCAUUACCUCAUCCCAUGAGCCACCGCGUGAAGAAGAAUCUUCUGGGUGGUCGUCUAGGCAACGCGCCUUAUCUGAAAAUAACGAAUACGCCCAGCAAGUCGCCUCCAGCCAAUAAGAGACUCAGAGCAUGACAUCAUUGCUAUUUUUAGUGUGGGAGCAGAAGCAGAUAAGGUUUGCCUCCACGCUGGAAGAGUUCAGAAUAUACAGAUCAUAGUGGAGGGACGGGUUGCAGCGUGUGGAAGUGUGGAACCUAAACACAAAGUUUAGCGCUCGGUUUUCUUCAGCCAGAGCGUUGAAAGCCGCACAGAGCGACACAUAGAGACGAUUAGGAGUAGUAGGUGAGUUCUAAUUCCGACGUCCGUCCGGGCCGUCUUCACUUUUACUUACUAGCCUUGCUCACCAGAGUAGGAAGCAGAGGGGGAGUAAAGAGGACAGUCUGUCGAGCUGGACUUUUUCCCGAGUUCCUGGCGCAUUAGAGCGGAUACAGAACCGAAGCGUGUCUCCCAGUCCCAGACGGUACUGGUGCUGAGACAGAUUGCGGGAGCGCCCCGACCGACCGGCCGCUCGCUAACUUUCGAGGAGUUUCGCUCCCAAGCAGGCGCCCCUGAAACCGGAGGCGGAAGAGAGGGAACUGUCAGUCCUGUUUGUUGCGAGAAGUUUUAAAC